GCUUUUGUUUUGGGUAAA
rnacentral:sRNA from 1 species